rnacentral:rRNA from 1 species
UACGUAGGGGGCAAGCGUUGUCCGGAAUGACUGGGCGUAAAGCGCGCGCAGGCGGUCUUUUAAGUCUGAGGUGAAAGGCUGGGGCUCAACCCUGGCAUCGCCUUGGAAACGGGAAGACUUGAGGACUGGAGAGGCAAGGGGAAUUCCACGUGUAGCGGUGAAAUGCGUAGAGAUGUGGAGGAAUACCAGUGGCGAAGGCGCCUUGCUGGACAGUGCCUGACGCUGAGGCACGAAAGCGUGGGGAGCAAACAGG